rnacentral:lncRNA from 1 species
AUUGUUGGCAAUUGCAAGGGGACUCCUGGGGAUGGGGAGGGGUAGAGAAGGGUCCUGGGAGCCAGACAAGGAACAGAACCAGAGGAGGGAAUAUUCCAGAGCUGCCCAUGGCCACAGUAGGGCAACAAAACUGACUCCAGGCCUGGACACCUUCUCACUGACCCCAGCCUCCACCACUUCUUACCUACCAAGGCCAGAACCCUCAAGUUAAUCCACUGACUUAUGCUGUCUCAGAAUGCCACCUCUUGGGGGUUCCAAUUAGUAUUUUUCAAACUGAGGGCCGUGACCCAUUAAUGGGGUUGUGAAAUCAGGUUAAUAGGUCACAAUCAGCAUUUUUUAAAUCAGGAUAGAAGUGAAUAGAUAACACCAGAGUUUACUGCACACUGCCAGUGAGGAUGCUAUUUGGAACAGUUUAGCUUCAGAAAAAGAAAAAAAAAUAUAUGUGUAUAUAUAUGUAUUUGUUACUAUGGUCUUGGAAAUAGUUUGAAAGCCACUGAUUUAAUUACUUCAAAAUGAGAUAAGCUGCCUUAACCCUUUCUGGAAAAAGGUGGGCAAGGGGUAGAGAUAAAUACUUAAAUGAAAAAAUGAAAUAAAAAUUUAAAAAAUAAAUGAACUUUUAAAUGAAAUAACAAGUGAGCAUAACCGAGCUUACACGAGUAAUUUCCAACCCAGUGAGUAUCUGCAGGGCAUCUUGCUGUGUCCAUGGCAGUGUCCUCGGUGGUCCAAGAUACACAAUAACAAACAAGAUCCAGAACUCAGUGCUUCCAGCUCUGAGGAGAGGUGAGAAUGGAGCACACUUACUACUGAUUCCAGGCAAGAGAUGCAGUACAAACGCUGAAAAGACACCUUGAAGACUUUCAAGCCCAGAAAUUGCAGAUACUCAUGAGGGUUCAUGAGGAAGAUGGUACUUGAGUUGUCCCUUAGACUUGAGGUAGUUUUUAAUUAAGUGAGACGUGAAAGGCAUUCAGGAAGAGGGGCAGGAAAGUACAGAACUUCUCCAAGAAGCAGGAAGUAAUCUCAUUUGAUUGAGCACAUUAUGAAUAAGGGUAGGUGGGAUUUCUGCAGGAGGUAACACUGCAAAAAUAGACUGGGACCUCCAUCAGACACAGACCCUCUUUUUUUCUUUUUGCUUCCCCGUGGCAUGUGUAGUUCCCAGGCCAGAGAUCAGAUAUGAGACACAGUUGUGAUCUAGCUUUAGCUGUGGCAACGGCAGAAUUUUUAAUCCACUGUGCAGGCCAGGGAUUGAACCCACGUCCCAGUGUUCCAGUGAGGCCACCCAACCCAUUGCACCACAGUGGGAACUCCUCAGACCCUCUUCAACCAUCGGUUUCUUCAUUAUUGAAUCAAGUUAAUGGUACUUACCCUACUCACCUGUCGAAAGGCACAGAACACUGAAAAAGAGAGAAAAUGGAAAGAAGCAGGGAAGGAUAUUGCCCAAUUCACCCACUCACUCAACAGCCAUUCCCAAGCCCUGUUGGGUGGCCAGGGCCAAUCUGGAAUACAUGGAUGGAUGAGCCAGCCCUGUGGGGCGCACAGAAACUCAAAGAACAAGUCAUCUCCUCUGCCUUGGAAAGUUACAAAGUGUCACCAAUGGCAGGACACUUGGGCUGAGUCAAGAGAGAUGAGUUGGAAUUUCAAAGGGGGAGACUGGAGGAACAGCAUGUAUCAAGGUUAUAGAGUUGUGAAAGGGCUGAUAUGUCUGUAGAAUGGUGCCGAGGCUCAGGGGCAUAGAUAAGGCUGCCUUGUACAAUUUUUCACAUUAUACCCUAAACAAGGCUGCCCAGCUGAAGGCAUGAAGGGAAUCUAAUUCAGUCGAUGCUGGGCUGACCAAGCCUUAUGCCAUGACUUUUCCAAGUCACACAGGGGUGCCAUCUGCUGGUCAAACUCUGUGUCUGCAGGACCAGGCUUGUAUUUUUCUAAUUUGCACCAAGGUUCUGCCUGUAUGGGCUAGAGAAGGCUGCCAUUGGCACGACCCGAGAGGAAGGCAUAUGAGAUCCAGAGAGUAAAGGAAAUUCACUUGGGCAGCAAAGUGAAUGAAAGCAGCUUCAUCCUCGAUUCUCCUUAGUGUGGGCUUCAGGAAUCUUCUCUCCAUCCCCAACUUUGGCUCCCUACUCAGACACCUAGCUUUGGCACAAACACUUUACUUCCUUCUCUGACUGCUUCAAACCAUCCUCUUCUCAAGGCUGUGCUCUGCCCCUCUGCCACUUCCUCCAGAUAUUCUUCCCAGAUUCACCAAGCAGGACUUACCACUGCCUUUUAUUUAGUCUGUCUCCUGCCCCGUGCAGGUUUGUACUUCCGAACCUGUCUCCUGCCUGCGGGUGGCGUAUGUAUCCCUGCAUUGCAAUCACACAUGUUCCUCCCAUCUGCUCAGGCCAUCAGUCUCAUGGACACACCUCCAGAUUAGGGACCACAUCGUUUUUCCCUUUACAGCUCCACAUGGCUGGAAGAAUAAACAGUGACUCACAGAGACAAUUGCUGAUUCACCAAUAAAGAAAGUGAGAAGUUCCCCAUUGUGGCUCAGUGGUACCAGUCAAUGGUUUGACUGGUAUCCAUGAGGACACGGGUUCAAUCCCUGGCUUUGCUCAGUGGGUUAAGGAUCCAGCGUUACCCAUGCGCUGUGGUAUAGACUGGCAGCUAUAGCUCUUAUUCAACCCCUAGCCUGGGAACUUCCAUAUGCUGUGGGUGCAGCCCUAAAAAAAGACAAAAAAAAAAAUAUGAACCUCAACAUGAGCAGUCGUGGGGUAGGUGCCCAGAACCCUCUUCGGGGAGGGUUUUCAGCUGCACAGAGUAGAUCCUCUGCCUCCUACAGAUACCCCCAGUGCCUCAUGCAGAUACCCCCAGUGCCUCAUGCAGAUACCCCCACAGAGAAGCCUGCCAGUGCCUAAUUAUAGACCAGACUAAGUAGAAUCCUAUGAUUUCUAUUUGCACCAAGGGGUGGAUAAUUGAUAGCAUCUUCUUCCUCAAGAGAGGAUUUGAUUCAGGGCAGAGAGCAUGAAGAGAAAGGGCAGCACAGACAGGAAAAGGGAUUUAAAAAAUAAAUAAAUAUGGGUGUUCCAAUUGUGGCUCAGUGGCUAAAAACCCAGCAGAGUGCCCAUGAGGAUGCAGAUUCAAUCCUUGGUCUUGCUCAGUGGGUUAAGGAUCCAGCAUUGCCAUAAGCUGCAGCUUAGGUAGCAGAUGUGGCUCAGAUAUGUGGUGGCUGUGGCUGUGGUGUAGGCCAGCAGCUGUAGCUCCAAAUGGACCUCUAGCCCAGGAACUUCCUUUCUGCCACAGGUGCAGCCCUAUAAAUAAAUAUACAAACAAACAAACAAACGUGCAUUGAGUCUAAAUCCGCACACAAAGAGGAGGAAGGUGGAAGAACUGGAAUGGCAGCCUGGAAGUGAGCGGAUCCAUCUCCUUCUAGAGGCUUCCCCCCCCCCGCCCAGAAGGCAGCUCAGGCCUGCCUCUCCCAGACAUUAACUACUCCUGCAGUUCACUCCUUCAUUACACACAAACUACUGCAGACUUUGGCUGGGCAAAAAGGAGUUUCUGGGGAAAGAUGGAAUGGGAACUACCUGGAUCCAGGGAUAAGGAAGGAGCCCAGGAGGCCAGUGUGACCAAGCUCAGCUUGGUAGAUAAAGGGCAGAAGUGGGGCAUAAUGGAAAGAACAAAGCCUUACAGAGCAGAUGCCAUAGACUGAAUGUAUCUCCCCAUAAUUCACAUGUUAGAGCUAUAAUACCCAGUGUGAUGGCAUUUGGAGGUGGGGCCUCUGGGAGGUGAUGAGCUCAUGGGAGUGGGGCCCUCAUGAGUGGAAUUAGCACCCUUUACAAUGAGACCCACAGAAGGAUAAUCUCUCUCUUCCUGCUAUGUGAGGAUAGAGCAAGAAGUCAGCCAUCAGUAAGAGAGCUUGCACCAGGAACCCAAUCAGCCAGUACCUUGUUCAUGGACCAUCCAGCCUCCAGAUCUGCGAGAAAUAAAUAUUUGUUGUUUAAGCCACUCAGUCUAUGGUAAUUCAUUGUAGCAGCUCAAGGUGACUAAGACAGCAGAUAGAGCUGGACUCUCUUACCACAUGUUGCUGCCCCUUACAGGAGAAUGGCUAAGCAGAAAUACAUGUAAUCACACACACACACACACACACACACCAGCUCUGAACACUUGUCAGCCCUGCACAAAAUCAGGGGGAAGCUGGGCACUGUCGUGGAAAGAGAGUUACAAAGAGGAAUGUGAAUAGAUCUAUAUUUGAGAAUCAAUUAUAUAAUAAUGUCCUUGCCUUAAAGAGCUCACUUGGGAGGCUGUUAGCCUUCAUAGCAAAUCACAGUGCAAAGGAUAUUAUAAAUUAUAUGACAAAGCUAUAUAUAAUGUGAUGUGGGAAUCUGGAGAAACGCUGGAUUCAUUUGUGCCAGAUUAUAUAGAAACAUGAAUGCAUGGAAAGGCCUGUGGUCUGAGCAGGGAUGGAGUGUGAUCAAUGCAUUUUGAAGAAAAUUCUAUUAUCUCAGCGAUUGGAAGGCAGAGACCAGAGCUGGAAGAGAAGUUAGAAAGAAACUGCAAUUAAAAAUAACAGUUCCUUUGUGAUGCAGUGGGUUAAGGAUCUGGCAUUGUCACUGCAGUGGCUCAGGUGGCUGCUGUGGUGCAGGUUCAAUCCGCAUGCCAUGAGCACAGCCAAAAGAAAAAAAGAAAGAAAAAUAACAAUUCCUAAUCCUGAGCAUAUCCUUUGUGCAAGGCCUGGUUCUAAACACUUUAUGCAUAUGACACAUUUGUGCCCACAAUGAUGUGCGGUGGUAUGAGUUGAACUUUGUGUGUUCCCAAAUAUUUGUAUGUUGAAGUCCAAAACCAAAACCUCAGAUGCAACCUGACUAGAAAAUAAUAUGUAAAUAGUUAACAUGUAGUCAUAGUGGAAUAGGAAGGGCCCCUAAUCCAAUGUGACUGGCAUCUUAUAAAAAGGGAAAAUUUGGACACAGACACACAUACAGAGGGAACGCCAAGUGAAAAUGACAGCAAAGACAGAAGUGGUAUAUCUACAGGCCAAGGAAGGCCAAAGAUUACCAACAAACCACCUGACGCUAGGAAAGAGGCCUGGAAAAGAUUGUCUCUUACAGUCUCAGCAUUUACUGCUCCAUAGUGCCACCCCAGGCAAUGGGGAGUUCCUCAUAUGCUAAGGGUUUAAUGCAGAUGCACUACUACUGAGGUGGAAAGAGCACUAACUCAGGAGUCAGAAAAAUUGAGUUCCUGUCCCAGCACAACCACUCACCUUCUGAGUGACCUUGACCAAGAACUAGCCAGGCACUACCCUCUGUCCUGCUCCCUUUGUGGACAAUGAAGGCCUUGGGCCAAAAAGCUACUGUCAAUCAAUUCUCCUACCCUCAAAUCUGUAGGGUUCCACUGCUGUUGUCCUCAUUCUACUAUGACUAGAGGACACGUCUACACUCUUACUCACACUCCUGCCACAAUAGCACAUCUCCUGAGAAGCCAUUCCUGGGUAUACCAGCCCAUGGAGCACAUUUCCAUCCUCAGAGCCCCUCAGCACUGAUGGCCUGCCCUGCGAUGGGCCUGAGCCUAUAUUUAGUGUCUGUUGUUGGUGACCCAUCUUCCAUGGGUGUGCACUUUUUCCAACUAGGUAGGAAAUUUCCUGAGAGGUGAGAAUAUGUGCUUUGUACCUGUCGCAAGAAUACAAGCAAAGUGAGCUAUUAUAAUGACAAUGAUGGUGAUGAUGAUGGGGGGGGGUGAUGGUGAUGAUGAUGGUUGAUACCUUUUACCAAGCAUACUAUACACACAUGCUCAUCUUUUCCUGAUAAUUACCGUGAGAAGUAUUAUCUUUCCAAUUUUACAAUGUGGAAAUAUAAGUACAAAGAGUUUACAGAAUUUGCCCAAGGUACACCAGGAAGAAAAUUUUGGAGUCUGGGAGUCUUUGGCUCACAGCCCAUGUGCUUAAGAACCAACUGCUACUACCUGCAAAGCUUGGCAAGGUGUGUUCUUGCUGCACACCCACAUCCACGCAUGGGGCUGUUCAAAUGCCUUCAGUUUGUGACAUCUCUGUCUAGAUCAUAGCUAUAUUCCCAGUACCUGGCAUAAUAUACAGUGUAUGAAUGUCUGAAUGAAUGGAUAAGUCCUAAAAGAAAGGUCACCACCCCCAGGCUUUGCCAGCCAUUCAAAGGUUCAGUACUGUUUAUCCAUCCAGCCCUGCACCCCCAAGCACAUUACAUACCCUUAAAUCUAUUGGAAGAAGAAAAGGAAAACCCAUUCGCUUUAAAUUAUCUACUCAAAUGCUAUUUACCAAGCACUGUCUCUGAACACAGCCCUUCAUCUUUCACAUUCUCUUUUAGCACAUUUUAGGAAUUCUUAAUAAACUCUAGGCAGCUAACAAACACAUAUCUGAAGGCUCAAAAUGCAUGUUUAGGGUGUGGCCCUAAAAAGCAAAAAAAGCAAAAAAAAAAAAAAAAAA